UACGUAGGGACCGAGCGUUGUCCGGAUUCAUUGGGCGUAAAGAGCUCGUAGGCGGCCACUCAAGUCGAAUGUGAAACCUCGAGGCUCAACCUCGAGCCUGCAUUCGAUACUGGGCGGCUAGAGUCUGGUAGGGGGAUCUGGAAUUCCUGGUGUAGCGGUGGAAUGCGCAGAUAUCAGGAGGAACACCGAUGGCGAAGGCAGGUCUCUGGGCCACUACUGACGCUGAGAAGCGAAAGCGUGGGGAGCGAACAGG
rnacentral:rRNA from 1 species